rnacentral:lncRNA from 1 species
GGCAAUUAAGAAGACUUGUUGAGAUUGGAGGUGUGCUCACUGAAUCCUUGGACUGCAUGACACAAGUGCUGAUGAAAGUCAAGCCAAAGAAAGCAGCCAAGGAGGGACCAGAGCGGAAGGAAGAUAUUUCCAGAUGCGAUUUGAAAUGAGAUCAUGAGUUGAUGAGGUGAAGACAUGCAGGCUGGCUGUUUAGAAGACAGGAGCUGCAGAAGGUGUCACUGCUUACAGCUUAAAGGGACAGGAACAUCAAAUAUUAAAAGUUCUACAUAUGGCACAAAAGAUUGUUUUAGAAUCUGAAAAUGUUAUAAGAAUACAGAUUUAAUUUUAAGUGGUUUUGCUGAAAAUGAUUUUCAAAAGCCCAGUAGUUGUUUUACAUGAUAUGAUGGUGCAGUGGUUGAAUCGUGGCUGCCAAAAACAUAUGUCCCCAUUCUACCCCCUAGACCUGUGAAUGCAACUUUAUUUGGAAAGAGUUCUUUGUUUUUUCUUUUAAUUAAUGAAUUAGUUAAUUAUUUCUGUGCCUGUGCUUACCCCACCCCCUUUUUUCUAACUUAAAGUUAAGAAUCUGUAGACGAGAUCAUCCUGGAUACCCCAGGUGGGUCCUAACCCCAUUGAUAAGUGUUCCAUAGCCACAAAAGAGAAUGCACAGAGACACAGAGGAGAAGGCCUUGUGAAGAAGGUGGCAGAGACUGAAGUUACACAGCUACGAGCCAAGAAAUGCCUGGAGCCACCAGACACCGGGAGAGGCAAGGGAAGUUUCUCUGCUAAGCAAUUUCAGAGGGAGCCUGGUGCUGCCAGCACUUUGAUUUUGGGCUUCUGGCCUCUAGAACUGUGAUACAAAAAAGUUUUCCUGUUGUAAGCCACUAGUUUGUUGUAGUUUGCUACAGCAGCCCUAGCAAACGAAUACAGGUGGUUGUAGCAGGAUCGUAGCACCCAGGCAGACCUGGCUGUGAAUCCUGACUCCUCCUUUUCCUAGCCUUUUGCAAGUUAUUUAGCAUAUCUAAAUAUCAGCUUUGGCAUCUGUAAAAGUGCUAAGAUACUGGCACCUGCCUCAUAGGUGUGAGGAGCAAAGGAGUCAGCAUGUGGAAAGAAUGGAACACAGUGAAUAGGUGCACAGUAACGGUGGCUGAUGUCAUUAUACAGACAAUUGUCUCCCCUACUUUAAUCCAUGUGCCCUGGUGGGCACACAUCACCCCCGUGUGCUGUCUGGGAAGGGGUUCUGUCUCAGUUCCAGAUCCACCUUUCUAUAUUCUGCUCUGCUGGGCUGGGACUCUGCUGACUACACAUCUCCUUUGCCAAUCAGGGACCCUAGGGGGAAGCCGGUUGGCACAGGAUGGGAGGAGAGACUUGGCCCUUCUGUUUGCCUGCCUGUGCUGUCAGCAGCAUCCCAGCAUUGACCUUUCACCCUGGAAGCAGCAUUGGUUCCAGUGCGUUGUGGUUUCCAGUUUCUUGCAGUACUCCUGGAACCAGCCCCAUCACAGCUGCUUUGAGGUACCAGCACGAACCAGGCAGUGCCCCCUCCACAGGAGUCUGAGUUCCAGCUUCUGAGGGGCUCCUCCUUCAAGCUGCUAGGAGCUGACGACCCCAGGCUGCUUCCUAAGUUUCCCUGCCCCUUAGAGAGGGUAGCUACUUCUUAUAUCCAGCACUAGAGGUGUUUGCUACUUCCUAAUAAGCUUUUUUUACUCAGGGUUCCCCAUUUGCCUCUCAUAUACCCCUACCCCCG